GAUGAACGCUGACAGAAUGCUUAACACAUGCAAGUCAUUGGCGAAGCUGCGCUUGCGCAGUCUAGCCAAGGCGGACGGGUGAGUAACGCGUAAGGAACUUGCCCUGCAGACAGGGAUAACAGACGGAAACGACUGAUAACACCUGGUAUUGUCAGGCUGGCGCAUGCCGGCCUGAUGAAAGGAGACGCUGCAGGAGAGCCUUGCGUCCUAUUAGCUAGUUGGUGGGGUAACGGCCCACCAAGGCGAUGAUAGGUAGCCGGCCUGAGAGGGUGAACGGCCACAAGGGGACUGAGAUACGGCCCUUACUCCUACGGGAGGCGGCAGUGGGGAAUAUUGGACAAUGGGGGCAACACUGAUCCAGCAAUUCUGUGUGCACGAAGAAGGUUUUCGGAUUGUAAAGUGCUUUCAGCAGGGAAGAAGAAAGUGACGGUACCUGCAGAAGAAGCGACGGCUAAAUACGUG
rnacentral:rRNA from 1 species